rnacentral:lncRNA from 1 species
UGGGAUAGAGAGAAAGAGAGAGAGAGAGAGAGUGAGAGUGAGAGAGAGAGCGUAAGAGAUAGUCGAGGAAGGAGAAAGUGGGAGGCUGAGGGGGCGAAAGAGUGUAAAUGCGUGAAUGAUACGAAGAGAAUUGUGACAAACGGUGUUAAUCACUUUUCUCUGGUAUUUAAAAAAAACAAACUUUUGUUAGAUUCUUUUUGCUAUUUCUGUGUUUAUUAAUUACGUGGGAUAGAAGAAAAGCAUUUUCGCAUGUAAGAAAGGACUCAAUACUAUAUUAAUGCAUAGAUUAAUCUGUCUAUCUAUCUAUCUACCAAUGUAUGUAUGUAUGUAUGUAUGAAUGUGUGUGUAUGUAUAUAUAUAUAUAUAUAUAUAUAUAUAUAUAUAGAGAGAGAGAGAGAGAGAGAGAGAUAUUUAUAUAUAUGUAUAUGCGUAAAUGUUUGGCUGUAGUUUAAAAAAAGUUUGUUUCUCAACCACAUCGCUCCGGCUUCACUCCCACUUGGCAACCGGUGUUGGUGUGUUUAUAUCCCAGAAACAUAGAUGUUGGCCAAAAAGCGACUGAGAAGGAAAGAAAGUGUACAGUGGUCUAUUUAUUCCAAUAAAAUUUGUUCAAGGCGGUACCCCAGCAUGGGCGCAGUGUUAUGGCUGAAACAAGUUAAAGCUAAUAUAUAUAUAUUUAUGUGUGUGUGUGUGUGUGUGUUGUGUAUGUAUAUAUAUGCGCGUGUGUGUGUGUUUGAGUGUGCCUCUGUGUGUGUUCGAUACCUCCCUCACUGACAACAGGUGUUGGUUUGUUUACGUCCUCGUUAGCUAGCGAGAGAGAGAAAAGAGAGAGAGAGAGAGAAAAGAAGAAACAGAGAGAGAGAAAGGUAAGAAUAAAGGUAAUUACUGCAGACGAUUAGCUCGAAUAAGUAUUUUCAAGGCAGCAACCCAGUAUGAUAGGUAGAUAGAUAGAUAGAUAGAUAGAUAGAUAGAUAGAUAGAUAGAUAGAUAUAUAGAUAGAUAUAUAGAUAGAUAGAUAGAUAGAUAGAUAGAUAGAUAGGUAGAUAGAUAAAUAUAGAUAGAUAGAUAGGUAGAUAGAUAGAUAGGUAAAUGGAUAUAUAGUUGGAUAGCUAGCUAGAGAGAUAGAUAAGUAGACAGGCAGAUAGAUAUGUUUCUUUAUUAGCCACACAGGGCUGCACACAGAUAGAACAAAUUACAAGGUAGAGCUUUUCUUUUGAAGGUUUAAAAAAAAAAAAAAGAAAGAAAGGGGAGUUUCGAUCAAAAGGGAUCGUAAAAGGAGAGAAAGAGGACAAAAAAAAGGGGGGUUAAAAAAAAGCGGGAGAGGAAAAAAAAAAAAGUAGAUAGAUAGUUACACUUAAACAAGUGUAAAACUUAAUACAUGUAAUCCCCACCUCGUAUAUUUCGCUUAGGCAUCGCGAGACCAGUAACCCGGCGUUUAGUGAAUGUAGAGCGGUAAAAAGAAAGACAGAUGACAAAGGAUUAAACGAUCAACGAAAUUAAACGAAAUUAUAAAGAGUAAAUGAUUAUUUUAUGAAGUUCAAAAGAUAAUCAUAUUUUUGUCAUCUCUCAUUCGCUUAUACAUAUAUAAGCGUAGGAGUCUCUGUGUGGUAACUAGCUUGCUUACGAACCACAUGGUUCCGUGUUCAGACCCACCGCAUGACACCUUGGGCAAGUGUCUUCUACUAUAGCCUCGGGCUGACCAAAGCCUUGUGAGUGGAUUUGGUAGACGGAAAUUGAAAGAAGGCCCGUCGUAUAUAUGUAUAACUAUGUGUGUGUAUAUGUUUAUGUGUCUGUGUUUGUCCACCCCCAGCAUCGCUUGACAAUCGAUGCUGGUGUGUUUAUGUCUCCGUAACUUAGCGGUUCGGCAAAAGAGACGGAUAGAAUAAGUACUAGACUUACAAAGAAUAAGUCCUUGCGUCGAUUUGCUCGACUAAAGGCGAUGCUCCAGCAUGGCCACGUUCAAAUAACUGAAACAAGUAAAGGAGUAAAAGAGUAUAUAUAUAUAUAUAUAUAUAUAUUUAUAAACAUGUGUGUGUAUACAUACAUACAUACAUAUAUAUGUAUAUAUAUAUAUAUUUACACACACGCACACACACACAUAUCAGAGAACAAGCGAAAGAAAAGUAGCAUUCUUCAUUUUUGUUGCAGUUAUAUGCAUUUAAUUAUAGUUUGAUUCAAUUCCACUUUAUUUAAAAUUUCGUGGGCGUAGAACAUGUUCACAUAGUCAGAUGCUCGGAAUGUUGCCUAUGUAAGCGCAUACGUACAUACACACAAGUAUGAAUACAUACAUACGUACACACACACACACACACACAUACACGCACACACACACACACACACACACACACACACACACACAUACACACCACAUAUAUAUAUAUAUAUAUAUAUAUAUAUAUAUAUAAGUAAUCACCACCACAAAAGAAACGGAGAUAAAAACAAGAAAAUAGACAACGUGAGGACCCGGUGUAUGCAGAGUAUUAAUAAUUAUAAAACGCUCAGGGAAGGAAAGAAAGGUGUUUUACGUUUCGAGCAAAGCUCUUCUACAGAAACAGGAGACAGAGAAAAGUCCAAGAGAAAAGGAGGAUGGAGGAAAAGAAAUCGCCAACUAUCCACUAUAUGUGUGUGUGUACACACACACACACACACACACACACACACACACACACACACACACACACCUACAUACACAUAUUACAUAUAUGUAUACAUAGGUAUAAUAUAUAUGCAUAUGUACAUAUGUAAAUGAAUACUUUUAAUGACUUCCCAGCUAUCUUUCUGGAAAUGUUACUGGUGAAGUAGCGACUUGUUUCUUACCGGGAUGUGGAUUCAUCUGGUAUCUCAGAUAAAAAUUUCUUUUGAAGCAUCCACAUCUAAUCUUACAGAUACCUAAGGUUAUUUGGCAAAAUGUUGAAAUAUUGUGGGUCCUUGAAGCCUAAACCUUUAUAAUACAGUGUCCAUACUCCUUUUAUGUAUGUGUGUGUGUGUGUAUGUAUGUAUGUAUGUAUGUAUGUAUGUAUGAGUGUGUAUAUCUAUCUAUCUAUCUAUCUAUCUAUCCACCUAUCUGCCUAUGUAUCUAUGAAAAAAGCACUGUGUAGUCCGACACAUAACCAAAGGUCGAGCUCAGCAGUGGAUUCCACAUUCCACUACUGUAUCCAGUGUAAUACAAUGCGGGCCAUCAACCACGGCAUAGGCUAGUGUGCAAAUUACGAACCAAAUAAUCGAAAUAAUAAUAGCAAUGAGCGGAAAACUUUACCUCAUCAAAGUAUCUAUAACUAUUAUGUAAUUACUACGGUCGUUUGUUGAAACGCGUGUAUGUUCUAUAAAGCAUUGACAACCAUGCCUGUCUUCUGCUCAUAAUAAUAAUUAUAAUAAUAAUAAUAUUAAUAAUAAUAAUUGAGAAGUGUUUGUACGAAAUCCGCAUUAACGACCAAAUUAAAUCUCAGCUUGAAAUUAAGAACGCAUAUCAUUCCUUACGUAUUGAAUUGGUGGGUGGGUCUGGAUCCAUAUCGCUUGCAAUACCUUCUAGACAGCCGAGACUGAUACAUUAACGCUUCUCUUAAAAUUUUAAAAGUGCAAACCUGCCAGAAUAAUAUGAGCAUGGACGAAAUUCCAGCAGGCCGACCUUUAGCAAAGGAAGAACUUGACAUAAUGACGUGUGCUCCACUUGCGGGAUGAGCUGGGCUUAACAAGGGUGUUGAGAAUAAGAUAGAGAUGUGAGAUGGGUAUGCUCAAAUGAGAGUGUCAUGACCCCAUCCAGAUCCUUGCAGCAGAAACCAUUGUAGUAGCGAGAGAAAAGGCAGAGAGAUAAGACUGUGAUAUAUUUGUCGGAGUGUGCCUGAGUGGUUUUGUAGCAGACAGCUGGAUGACUCAUUUCUGGAUGUAGUCUAGUAUGACAAUGUUUGUAGCAGUUGUUUCGUCCUAGAUUUCAGCGCAAGAUUCUGUUGUAGGUUUUGUCCAAGUUUUAUGGAAUAUCAAUAAUAGUUAAAGGAUGAAAUAUUGCUUGAUUUUGGAGAGAGACGCCAGACGUUUGGAUGCGGUCCAAAUUAUGUUGAGUAUGUGCUUUUGUUAAAAGAACUUUUCCUUGAUAAUGAGAGCCGACAGAUAGAAUAAAUUUUGGAUGCUGUAACUUGCGCUGUUUGUGAUUAAGGGUAUGAAGCGCUGAGGUUUUCUUCUCUGCAUUUGGGCUCCCCAAAUAGUCUUACUCAUGUAUAGAUUACUUUUACUUCUCGCCUGUAAGUUCAAAUACAAACACAUCAACUCACACACAUGCAAUGUUUAAAGUUCCUCAAUGAAAGACUUAAAAUAUUGUUCUUUACAUUAACUUUCUCACUGCUUAUCUAAUACAAUCUGUUUCGCAUAAAUAUUAUAUUCUUUAUUUAAAAGCGUGUGUUUAUAUAUAUAUAUUUAAAAUUUAAAAAUUUUUUAAACUUUAACUUUAAAUUUAAAUUUUGAAUUUUAUAUUUUAUAUAUUUUGUAUAUUAUAUUAAUUAAUUUUAAUUCUAUUUAUUGGUUUAUGAUUUUCAUUAUUUGAUUUGCCUAAGAGUGGUUUUAUCUCUAAUUUAAUAUAUGUAUAUAUAUAUAUAUAUAUAUAUAUAUAUAUAUAUAUAUAUAUAUAUAUAUAUAUAUAUAUAUAUAUAUAUAUAUAUAUAUAUAUAUAUAUAUAUAUAUAUAUAUAUAUAUACAUAUAUACACACAUACAAGAGUUAAGGUAUAGAGUUCAUAAGAUCCGGGUAACAUAUGUUUCAUAGCGAUCGGAACCUCGGAAUUGGUAAGUAUCCAAACGAUGUGUAUCCCGACGACUGCUCUUCAGGCCAAGGAUGUCUUGAUUAAAUGAAAGUUUACAUUAUCGCAAGGAGGUACAUGUUAACACACACACACACACACACACACACACAUGUAUAUUUACACAAACAUACAUCAAAGGUUUUGCCAUCCAGAAGCUGUAAAAGGCAGGUAAGGCUAUGUAUGUGCACAGGAAGGACUGCUGUAAGGCUCCCGGUUCAGUAAUAAUAUGAGAGAGGAAUCUAAUGCGAGUCGUGCGUGAGCAUGUAUAUGUUAAAUAAAGUGAGAUAACAAGGCCAAGAAAGUAUAAUAUCUUUGUUCUCAUAUUUCCCUUUAUACUUCCUGUAUCUCUUCCUUUCCAAAAUAACCUCGUAUUUAAUGAACUCUACUAUUUCCUUAUAUUGAAACUCUCUCAUAUCGUCUCCGAUGAUGGGAUAUCUUUUAUAUCACUGAAACAGCUGUAAGACAACCUUUCACUUUAUAAAUGUCCUAGAAAUAUCACACUGCCUUGGCCUUAUUAUCUCAUAUAUAUAUAUAUCAACAAUUGCAGCAUGGAAGGUGUUUAUAAGCCAUUUAAAACAUACAAAAACCGUUAGAUUCACUUAAUUUGCGAAAAUAUUUUCGUCGCUUUGAGACCAUGAUCUGUUCACAGACAAAAUUCCGUGCCUGUCUCGUUCGGUUGAUUAUGAAAGGUGAAACAUAGAAUUUUGUAUUAUUUCUUUUACUCGUUUCGGUUAUUAGGCCCCAAUCAUACGGGACCACUUUUUUUUACGCCUGUUGCUUACUCUACCAAUCGCUUUUGCGGAACCGCUAGUUUACGGGGACAUAAAACAUACCAACACCGGUUAUAAAGCGGUGGUGGGGGAUAAAAACACAGACACAAAAAUACACACACGCACAAGCAUACACGUGGACCCACAUAUACACAUACACGAUGGGCUUCUUUCAGUUUCCGGACAAACACAGACACAAAAAUACACACACGCACAAGCAUGCACGUGGACCCACAUAUACACAUACACGAUGGGCUUCUUUCAGUUUCCGGACAAACACAGACACAAAAAUACACACACGCACAAGCAUACACGUGGACCCACAUAUACACAUACACGAUGGGCUUCUUUCAGUUUCCGGACAAACACAGACACAAACAUACACACACGCACAAGCAUACACGUGGACCCGCAUAUACACAUACACGAUGGGCUUCUUUCAGUUUCCGGACAAACACAGACACAAAAAUACACACACGCACAAGCAUACACAUGGACCCACAUAUACACAUACGCGAUGGGCUUCUUUCAGUUUCCGGACAAACACAGACACAAAAAUACACACACGCACAAGCAUACACAUGGACCCACAUAUACACAUACACGAUGGGCUUCUUUCAGUUUCCGUCUACAAACACAGACACAAAAAUACACACACGCAUAAGCAUACACGUGGACCCACAUAUACACAUACACGAUGGGCUUCUUUCAGUUUCCGUCUACAAACACAGACACAAAAAUACACACACGCACAAGCAUACACGUGGACCCACAUAUACACAUACACGAUGGGCUUCUUUCAGUUUCCGUCUACAAACACAGACACAAAAAUACACACACGCACAAGCAUACACGUGGACCCACAUAUACACAUACACGAUGGGCUUCUUUCAGUUUCCGUCUACAAACACAGACACAAAAAUACACACACGCACAAGCAUACACAUGGACCCACAUAUACACAUACACGAUGGGCUUCUUUCAGUUUCCGGACAAACACAGACACAAAAAUACACACACGCACAAGCAUACACGUGGACCCACAUAUACACAUACGCGAUGGGCUUCUUUCAGUUUCCGGACAAACACAGACACAAAAAUACACACACGCACAAGCAUACACGUGGACCCACAUAUACACAUACACGAUGGGCUUCUUUCAAUUUCCGGACAAACACAGACACAAAAAUACACACACGCACAAGCAUACACGUGGACCCACAUAUACACAUACACGAUGGGCUUCUUUCAGUUUCCGGACAAACACAGACACAAAAAUACACACACGCACAAGCAUACACAUGGACCCGCAUAUACACAUACACGAUGGGCUUCUUUCAGUUUCCGUCUACAAACACAGACAUAAAAAUACACACACGCACAAGCAUGCACGUGGACCCACAUAUACAAAUACACGAUGGGCUUCUUUCAGUUUCCGUCUACAAAAAGCACUCACAAUGUUUUGUGUAGGCUCAAAGUUUUAGUUGCCUUGCCGAAGGCUUCAGGCAUGUUGUUGGUAAGCUAGCUUCUAUAUCACAAUGUCACACUUGCGCUAGAUUGUCUACACGCAAGAAAUUCAGCAAAACACAAUAUGUUCUUGUCAAAUUUUGAGAAAUUUAUAUAAUUUAUGGUUCCAAGCAUAUGUUAAAUGUAAAGUUGUUGGCGUACUUUCUCAUUGAUUGUCUACGUGCAAAGAGAAUAGAUUUGAAUUCACUGACAUUUCAAUAUAAUAUUUAAACCUCAUGUUUUACGUUUGUCCGAUUCACGAGAGUAUAUGAUUUAGUUCAAUUCAAAUAUCUUCUAUUUCCCUCCGGUUGAAGACCGUUUAGCUUUUCUUUACAUUAUUUACAAUUCAUCAACAUGCGCGUGUCCAUGGUUACUCUAAACUAUUAGCUUAAUGAGCGUUAUGGUAGAAGUCUAUAAGUCUACGUUCCGAGUUCAAAUU